rnacentral:lncRNA from 1 species
GUAAAUAGAGUCACAUAUUUUUCAACAGAGUUUCGAAGCUUGAUUCUGAUACUUCAAAUUCAGAACAGUUUUGUUUCCCUUUAAUGGUUAUUCUGAGUGAUUGACUUGAUUAAUAUCAAGGUUAAUGUCUUUUGAGUCUGCACACUAGAAUAACCAUUAGUAAACCAUGUUGUUCUUUAAAUACUUUGUUAUCAUCAACAAAAAUUAGGAGCUUGAACAAAUCUUCUUCUAACAAUCUCCCCAUUUUUUAUGAUGACAAACAAAUGUAUUGUAAACUUACGAAAGUAUAAAAAAAAUAAACAACAAAAAUAUAAACUUAUAAAUAUAAACUUUAAGCUUAUUACUCAUAAGCUAUUAUGGCAUGCACAAAUUUGUUCAGAUGCUUUUCUCUUCUUAAAUACUCUAUAUAUUUUCUCUCCCUUAAUCAUUAUCAAAAAUAUUUUAAACGAAAGAGAAAAACAAUAAAACUGAAAUAAUUUUAAAAGGGUUUAAAUGCAUAAAAUUUUAAAGGAACACAAAAGAAUUUGAAAGAAAUAAAAUAGUCAAAAGAUUAAAACAUUUUUCAAAAGAAGAGGACAAUUGAAAAAAAAAUUGAAGUCUGAUACAAACAUAUGGUUUAAACAAAUUGAUACCAAGUCAAAAAAUAAAAACAUUUUAACCAAAAAGAUCCAAUACUUUUAAUGAUAAAUCACUAUUGUUUCAGUUUCCAAGAAGUAAUUAUGAAUUAGUAUGACAUACUUAAUUAGUUUUUGGCCUUUAGAUUUUCACGGAAAAGAAACUUAAACCUACAAGAUAUUUUGAUUUUUAGAAAUUUUGUAAAAAACACACAAGUUCAUGCCAUAAAACAAACCUCAUUCACUCAACCAUAUAUUUGUUUUAAUAUAAUUAAGCUUCUCUUUCCACCUCUAAAUUAGUUGUACAAAAUUCAUAUCUAUUCCAUGUCAAAAUCUUCAAUUUUUCUUCAAUUGUCCAAAUUAUCCAAAUCCAGUAAGAACUCUUAAAAUUUCCACAAAUCCAUGAAAACCCAAUUUUUUUUUUAAAUGUAAGAAAUCAAAAGGGAUAUUAUGGUAAAAGAAUACCAUUUAGGUGAGGGUUCCAGGUUAAAUUUGAGGGAUAAAAUGAUAAAAUCUCUCGGUCUUCAUUGGUAGUUUUUAUGUUUGGAAGUUUGAGUCAUCGCUAAUUUAUGGAUAAAAGUGACAACUUUAAUAAAGUUUCAAACAUCUUACCCAUGAUCUAGCCAUGAGUAACUAUCCAAGUAUGUAGAAUCUCUAAUUACUUAGGACUACACCUUUGAUAAUCAAAUAAUUUUCCAAAAUAUUUCCACUUUCAUUUUAAUUAACAUCAAGUUCAUAUUAUAUAAUUUUAAAAUUAAAAAAAAAUAUAUUUAUCAUAUUUUAGUUGCUACACUAUAGUAAUCCCCAAUUUUUAUUCCCUCCCAUAAAUUUAUAAUUCCCCGCGAUAUCUUAAAAAUCCUUAGAAAUAGUCACUUAUUCACUUUUCUUCUUCCAUAACUAAAAAAAAACUUGAAGAUGGUUUUUCUUUCUAUUUUUAACUGUCAAACCAUCACACUCUUCAAUCCCCAGACUACGAGACAAUUUAUACAACUAAAGUUAUAUAAUCAUAUAACACCUCAUUUUUGUUGGAUUCUAUUAUCCCUUCAAUCCCAUCAUAUUCGUCGAUUAUGCAUCAUACCAAAAUAUAAUAAACAAGUGUGUAAUAUACAAGGAAAAUAAAUACAAGUAUGUAAUAUAUAGAAAGAUAAAAUAAAAUAAAGUAUUUAAUCAUCAUUAUUUAUAUCAAUGGUUAUUAUAUAUAGAGCACAAAAUAUAAUUAAUCAUAUAUUCAUUUUAUAUUAUAACAAUGUAUACUCUGACCGUUGUAAAAUAUAACGUUACAUAUUACAAUCGUCAAAGUAUACAACACUUGUAAUACUCUGAGUUAAUUCUUUUUUUAUUAAUUCAAAUAUGCAUUAAUAAAAAACUUUUCCCGAUACUUUAAGGAAUUAUAGAUCAACUUGAAC